UGAAUAUCAUGCAUUUUCUCUUCAGAAAUCCCCCAUUUAAGUGAAAAUCACGCGUUUUCUCUUCGAGAAUCCCCUAUUUAAGCAAAAAUCACGCGUUUUCUCUUCACAAAUCCCCCAUUUAAGCGAAAAUCACGCGUUUUCUCUUCGCAAAUCCCCCAUUUAAGCGAAAAUCACGCGUUUUCUCUCGAGAAUCCCCCAUUUAAGCGAAAAUCACGCGUUUUCUCAUCGAGAAUCCCCCAUUUAAGCAAAAAUCACGCGUUUUCUCUUCGAGAAUCCCCUAUUUAAGCGAAAAUCACGCGUUUUCUCUUCGAGAAUCCCCCAUUUAAGCGAAAAUCACGCGUUUUCUCUUUGAAAAUCCCCCAUUUAAGCGAAAAUCACGCGUUUUCUCUUCGAGAAUCCCCCAUUUAAGCCAAAAUCACGCGUUUUCUCUUCGCAAAUCCCCCAUUUAAGCAAAAUCACACGUUUUCUCUUCGCAAAUCCCCCAUUUAAGCCAAAAUCACGCGUUUUCUCUUCGCAAAUCCCCCAUUUAACCCGAAAAUCACGCGUUUUCUCUUCGCAAAUCCCCCAUUUAAGCGAAAAUCACGCGUUUUCUCUUCGAGAAUCCCCCAUUUAAGCAAAAAUCACGCGUUUUAAUCUUCGAGAAUCCCCAUUUAAGCAAAAAUCACGCGUUUUAUCUUCGCAAAUCCCCCAUUUAAGUGAAAAUCACGCGUUUUCUCUUCGCAAAUCCCCCAUUUAAGCGAAAAUCACGCGUUUUCUCUUCGCAAAUCCCCCAUUUAAGUGAAAAUAACAUGUUUCCUCUAUGCAAAUUUCCCAUUUAACCGAAAAUCACGCGUUUUCUCUUCGCAAAUCCCCCAUUUAAGCGAAAAUCACGCGUUUUCUCUUCGAGAAUCCCCCAUUUAAGCAAAAUCACGCGUUUUCUCUUCAAGAAUCCCCCAUUUAAGUGAAAAUAACAUGUUUCCUCUUCGCAAAUUUCCCAUUUAAGUGAAUAUCAUGCAUUUUCUCUUCAGAAAUCCCCCAUUUAAGUGAAAAUCACGCGUUUUCUCUUCGAGAAUCCCCAUUUAAGCAAAAUCACGCGUUUUCUCUUCGCAAAUCCCCCAUUUAAGCGAAAAUCACGCGUUUUCUCUUCGCAAAUCCCCCAUUUAAGCGAAAAUCACGCGUUUUCUCUUCGAGAAUCCCCCAUUUAAGCGAAAAUCACGCGUUUUCUCAUCGAGAAUCCCCCAUUUAAGCAAAAAUCACGCGUUUUCUCUUCGAGAAUCCCCUAUUUAAGCGAAAAUCACGCGUUUUCUCUUCGAGAAUCCCCAUUUAAGCGAAAAUCACGCUUUUCUCUUGAAAAUCCCCCAUUUAAGCGAAAAUCACGCGUUUUCUCUUCGAGAAUCCCCCAUUUAAGCAAAAUCACGCGUUUUCUCUUCGCAAAUCCCCCAUUUAAGCAAAAUCACGCGUUUUCUCUUCGCAAAUCCCCCAUUUAAGCCACAAAUCACGCGUUUUCUCUUCGCAAAUCCCCCAUUUAACCCGAAAAUCACGCGUUUUCUCUUCGCAAAUCCCCCAUUUAAGCGAAAAUCACGCGUUUUCUCUUCGAGAAUCCCCCAUUUAAGCAAAA
ensembl:lncRNA